rnacentral:rRNA from 1 species
GACGAACGCUGGCGGCGUGCCUAAUACAUGCAAGUGGGACGCAAGAGGACACACUGUGCUUGCACACCGUGUUUUCUUGAGUCGCGAACGGGUGAGUAACGCGUAGGUAACCUGCCUAUUAGCGGGGGAUAACUAUUGGAAACGAUAGCUAAUACCGCAUAAUAUUAAUUAUUGCAUGAUAAUUGAUUGAAAGAUGCAAGCGCAUCACUAGUAGAUGGACCUGCGUUGUAUUAGCUAGUUGGUAAGGUAAGAGCUUACCAAGGCGACGAUACAUAGCCGACCUGAGAGGGUGAUCGGCCACACUGGGACUGAGACACGGCCCAGACUCCUACGGGAGGCAGCAGUAGGGAAUCUUCGGCAAUGGACGAAAGUCUGACCGAGCAACGCCGCGUGAGUGAAGAAGGUUUUCGGAUCGUAAAGCUCUGUUGUAAGUCAAGAACGUGUGUGAGAGGGAAAGUUCACA